GAUGAACGCUGGCGGUAUGCUUAACACAUGCAAGUCGAACGGUCACUUCGGUGAUAGUGGCGGACGGGUGAGUAACGCGUGAGAAUCUGUCUUCAGAUCGGGGACAACAGUUAGAAAUGACUGCUAAUACCGGAUGUGCCUUUGGGUGAAAGAUUUAUUGCCUGAAAAAGAGCUCGCGUCAGAUUAGCUAGUAGGUGGUGUAAGAGACUACCUAGGCUCCGAUCUGUAGCUGGUCUGAGAGGACGAUCAGCCACACUGGAACUGAGACACGGUCCAGACUCCUACGGGAGGCAGCAGUGGGGAAUUUUCCGCAAUGGGCGAAAGCCUGACGGAGCAAUACCGCGUGAGGGACGAAGGCUUUUGGGUCGUAAACCUCUUUUCUCAAGGAAGAUGAUGACGGUACUUGAGGAAUAAGCAUCGGCUAACUCUGUG
rnacentral:rRNA from 1 species